AGAGUUUGAUCAUGGCUCAGAAUCGACGCUGGCGGCGUGCCUAACACAUGCAAGUCGAACGCGAAAGAGUCCUUCGGGACUUGAGUAGAGUGGCGGACGGGUGAGUAGCACGUGGGUGACCUGCCCCUGGGAGGGGGAUAACCCGCCGAAAGGCGGGCUAAAACCGCAUGAGCCCACAGAGUCGAAUCUGUGGGGAAAGCAUUUUUCAGCUUGCUGGGGAAUGUACCGAGGGAGGGGCCCGCGCCCGAUUAGCUAGUUGGUGGGGUAAGAGCCUACCAAGGCGACGAUCGGUAGCCGGUCUGAGAGGACGGACGGCCACACUGGGACUGAGACACGGCCCAGACUCCUACGGGAGGCAGCAGUGGGGAAUUUUGGGCAAUGGGCGAAAGCCUGACCCAGCAACGCCGCGUGGAGGAAGAAGGUUUUCGGAUCGUAAACUCCUGUCGGAAGGGACGAAGAAAGUGACGGUACCUUCCGAGGAAGCCCCGGCUAACUCCGUGCCAGCAGCCGCGGUAAUACGGGGGGGGCAAGCGUUGUUCGGAAUUACUGGGCGUAAAGGGCGCGCAGGCGGCCUGGGAAGUCCUGGGUGAAAGUCCCCGGCUCAACCGGGGGAGGACCUGGGAAACCACUGGGCUGGAGUGCUGGAGAGGGAAGCGGAAUUCCCGGUGGAGCGGUGAAAUGCGUAGAGAUCGGGAGGAACACCUGAGGCGAAGGCGGCUUCCUGGACAGACACUGACGCUGAGGCGCGAAGCCAGGGGAGCGAACGGGAUUAGAUACCCCGGUAGUCCUGGCCCGUAAACGAUGGGUACUUGGUGUGGGGGGUAAGUGAAAGUCCCUCCGUGCCGGCGCUAACGCGUUAAGUACCCCGCCUGGGGGAGUACGGCCGCAAGGCUGAAACUCAAAUGAAUUGACGG
rnacentral:rRNA from 1 species